GUACAUUACGUCACUGACGUCUUUGCGAGGCUCUCAUACGCUGAUGUUAACGUCUUCUUGUUACAAAAAGCACGAUUUUGAUAAACUUCUUGUGCUGUGGGCUUGUGGUUCCAAACCCUGUCCUCCACCUCUCCGCCAGGUUAUUGAUUUAUUUAUCUGUUUGUUUAUUUGUUCGUCGCACAGCUGAUUCAGCCAUAGUCUACUCAACCAAUCACUGAUGAACAUUUAACUGGAGGUGGCGCCACUGCUCUGCGGAAACUGUAGCUGCCUCUAGAUGGCGAAAUCACUGAGAGGAUGGAGGAAGAGUUGGUUGAGGCUCAGCCCCUGUAUGACCAGCGGCAAGACGACAGCGUCCGGAGGAACACCAGCAUUCACAGGAUCCUGUUAUUUUAAGAUGUUACCGGAGGGAGGAUUUAUUCAGGAUGCGUUUGAUGUGUAGCUCGGUUUGUUCUCUGAAUGUUUCAUUGUGAUGUUAUUCGGGUUUUCACAUUUUAGAAUUGGUUAUGUGAAAAUAAAUGAAGGUAAACCGG